rnacentral:rRNA from 1 species
CUUCCGCAAUGGACGAAAGUCUGACGGAGCAACGCCGCGUGAGUGAUGAAGGCUUUCGNGUCGUANANCUCUGUUGUCAGGGAAGNACAUCCGGGAUAACCUACCGGUCUGACGGUACCUGAUCAGAAAGCCCCGGCCAACUACGUGCCAGCAGCCGCGGUAACACGUAGGGGGCAACCGUUGUCCGGAAUUAUUGGGCGUAAAGCGCGCGCAGGCGGUGUCAUAAGUCUGGUGUAAAAGCCCGCAGCUCACCUGGGGAGGGCAACUGGAAACUGGGAAGAUUGAGUGUAGGAGAGGAGAGCGAAAUACCACGUGUAGCGGUGAAAUGCGUAGAUAUGUGGAGGAACACCCGUGGCGAAAGCGGCUCACUGGCCUAUAACUGACGCUGAGGCGCGAAAGCGUGGGGAGCGAACAGG